UAGUAUUCAAUUGUCAGAGGUGAAAUUCUUGGAUUUAUUGAAGACUAACUACUGCGAAAGCAUCUGCCAAGGAUGUUUUCAUUAAUCAAGAACGAAAGUUAGGGGAUCGAAGACGAUCAGAUACCGUCGUAGUCUUAACCAUAAACUAUGCCGACUAGGGAUCGGAUGAUGUUAAUUUUUUAAUGACUCA
rnacentral:rRNA from 1 species